GAUGAACGCUGGCGGCGUGCCUAAUACAUGCAAGUCGAGCGAACGGACGAGAAGCUUGCUUCCCUGAUGUUAGCGGCGGACGGGUGAGUAACACGUGGAUAACCUACUUAUAAGACUGGGAUAACUUCGGGAAACCGUAGCUAAUACCGGAUAAUAUUUUGAACCGCAUGGUUCAAAAGUGAAAGACGGUCUUGCUGUCACUUAUAGCUGGAUCCGCGCUGCAUUAGCUAGUUGGUAAGGUAACGGCUUACCAAGGCAACGAUGCAUAGCCGACCUGAGAGGGUGAUCGGCCACACUGGAACUGAGACACGGUCCAGACUCCUACGGGAGGCAGCAGUAGGGAAUCUUCCGCAAUGGGCGAAAGCCUGACGGAGCAACGCCGCGUGAGUGAUGAAGGUCUUCGGAUCGUAAAACUCUGUUAUUAGGGAAGAACAUAUGUGUAAGUAACUGUGCACAUCUUGACGGUACCUAAUCAGAAAGCCACGGCUAACUACGUG
rnacentral:rRNA from 1 species